UACAGAGGGGGCAAGCGUUGUUCGGAAUUACUGGGCGUAAAGGGCGCGUAGGCGGCCUUCUAAGUCGAACGUGAAAUCCCCGGGCUCAACCCGGGAACUGCGUCCGAGACUGGAAGGCUCGAAUCCGGGAGAGGGAUGUGGAAUUCCAGGUGUAGCGGUGAAAUGCGUAGAUAUCUGGAGGAACACCGGUGGCGAAAGCGGCUCACUGGACCGUCACUGACGCUGAGGUGCGAAAGCUAGGGUAGCAAACGGG
rnacentral:rRNA from 1 species